rnacentral:rRNA from 1 species
GAUGAACGCUGGCGGCGUGCCUAAUACAUGCAAGUCGAGCGAACGGACGAGAAGCUUGCUUCUCUGAUGUUAGCGGCGGACGGGUGAGUAACACGUGGAUAACCUACCUAUAAGACUGGGAUAACUUCGGGAAACCGGAGCUAAUACCGGAUAAUAUUUUGAACCGCAUGGUUCAAAAGUGAAAGACGGUCUUGCUGUCACUUAUAGAUGGAUCCGCGCUGCACUAGCUAGUUGGUAAGGUAACGGCUUACCAAGGCAACGAUGCAUAGCCGACCUGAGAGGGUGAUCGGCCACACUGGAACUGAGACACGGUCCAGACUCCUACGGGAGGCAGCAGUGGGGAAUCUUCCGCAAUGGGCGAAAGCCUGACGGAGCAACGCCGCGUGAGUGAUGAAGGUCUUCGGAUCGUAAAACUCUGUUAUUAGGGAAGAACAUAUGUGUAAGUAACUGUGCACAUCUUGACGGUACCUAAUCAGAAAGCCACGGCUAACUACGUGCCAGCAGCCGCGGUAAUACGUAGGUGGCAAGCGUUAUCCGGAAUUAUUGGGCGUAAAGCGCGCGUAGGCGGUUUUUUAAGUCUGAUGUGAAAGCCCACGGCUCAACCGUGGAGGGUCAUUGGAAACUGGAAAACUUGAGUGCAGAAGAGGAAAGUGGAAUUCCAUGUGUAGCGGUGAAAUGCGCAGAGAUAUGGAGGAACACCAGCGGCGAAGGCGACUUUCUGGUCUGUAACUGACGCUGAUGUGCGAAAGCGUGGGGAUCAAACAGGAUUAGAUACCCUGGUAGUCCACGCCGUAAACGAUGAGUGCUAAGUGUUAGGGGGUUUCCGCCCCUUAGUGCUGCAGCUAACGCAUUAAGCACUCCGCCUGGGGAGUACGACCGCAAGGUUGAAACUCAAAGGAAUUGACGGGGACCCGCACAAGCGGUGGAGCAUGUGGUUUAAUUCGAAGCAACGCGAAGAACCUUACCAAAUCUUGACAUCCUUUGACAACUCUAGAGAUAGAGCUUUCCCCUUCGGGGGACAAAGUGACAGGUGGUGCAUGGUUGUCGUCAGCUCGUGUCGUGAGAUGUUGGGUUAAGUCCCGCAACGAGCGCAACCCUUAAGCUUAGUUGCCAUCAUUAAGUUGGGCACUCUAAGUUGACUGCCGGUGACAAACCGGAGGAAGGUGGGGAUGACGUCAAAUCAUCAUGCCCCUUAUGAUUUGGGCUACACACGUGCUACAAUGGACAAUACAAAGGGCAGCGAAACCGCGAGGUCAAGCAAAUCCCAUAAAGUUGUUCUCAGUUCGGAUUGUAGUCUGCAACUCGACUACAUGAAGCUGGAAUCGCUAGUAAUCGUAGAUCAGCAUGCUACGGUGAAUACGUUCCCGGGUCU